UGGUCUGUUACUGACGCUGAGGCUCGAAAGCAUGGGUAGCGAACAGGAUUAGAUACCCUGGUAGUCCAUGCCGUAAACGAUGAAUACUAGGUGUUGGAGGGUUUCCGCCCUUCAGUGCCGCAGCUAACGCAUUAAGUAUUCCGCCUGGGGAGUACGACCGCAAGGUUGAAACUCAAAGGAAUUGACGGGGGCCCGCACAAGUGGUGGAGCAUGUGGUUUAAUUCGAUGCUACGCGAAGAACCUUACCAGCUCUUGACAUCUUCUGCCAACCCAAGAGAUUGGGCGUUCCCUUCGGGGACAGAAUGACAGGUGGUGCAUGGUUGUCGUCAGCUCGUGUCGUGAGAUGUUGGGUUAAGUCCCGCAACGAGCGCAACCCUUAUUAUUAGUUGCCAGCAUUUAGUUGGGCACUCUAGUGAGACUGCCGGUGAUAAACCGGAGGAAGGUGGGGACGACGUCAAAUCAUCAUGCCCCUUAUGAGCUGGGCUACACACGUGCUACAAUGGAUGGUACAACGAGUCGCGAAACCGCGAGGUCAAGCUAAUCUCUUAAAGCCAUUCUCAGUUCGGAUUGCAGGCUGCAACUCGCCUGCAUGAAGUUGGAAUCACUAGUAAUCGUGGAUCAGCAUGCCACGGUGAAUACGUUCCCGGGCCUUGUACACACCGCCCGUCACACCAUGAGAGUUUGUAACACCCAAAGACGAUGGGGUAA
rnacentral:rRNA from 2 species